UGUCAGAGGAGAUAGGAAGGCUGAACUUCCAGUCUUAGCCAGGGGUCCCAUGGAGAGGGAAGUAGAGGAAGGCCAUGAGGAAAAGAGAAAAGAUGUUAGCGAUGUUAGCGAUACCACGUGAAGAGACCAGAGGAGGCUAUGAGGCAGUGGGGGAAUUCUGAUGAGCAGGCUGCCAGGGGAUUCACCAUAAGGACACACUUGGAGCAAAGCAAGCCAAGGAUCUCACUCACUAAAUAGGCCAGACUGGCCUUGAACUCAUAGGUAAUCCUCUUGCCUCAGCAAUGGAAGUGUCAGGAUUAUAGGAAUAAACCACCACACAGAAAAUACCAGUUUCCUGAAGAACGCUCAGAUGGUUACAAUAACAACUGAAGUAGUGCAUUGUUAAAGUAAGAGUUGAAAUUUAUUGAGGUUGUGUUGUGAGCCAGUGCAAGAUUGAGAACUGUGUGCUUAUUGCAACAUCUCUCACCACUCGGAAAGUGAUGAUGGGGCUCUCCCUGCCCGAUCUGACAAAUGAGGGAAUACAGUCACCUGUAGCACCUAAUCCCCUCACCUUCCCAGGAAGCAUGACUACCAAGCAAAGGGUCCUGGAAAUUCAUCUGUUUGAUUUCAUACUCAUCAUGACUUUGAAACUAAGAGAUAACCUUAAGAAAACAUGGACAAAUCCUCAAAAUACUGUAAAGUGUGCAGUCUGAUACCUUGAAUUGUCUUCAUGUUUCCGUAAGAAAUUUAAAUGGUGUUGAAGCCUGGGCUCUCCCUCAAACUUGCUGUGUAGCCAGUGUACUAGUCUGCUGCCGCUCGGCUGUGAUAAGACAAGACCAAGAGUAACGUGGAGAAGAAAGUCCAGGUCUACCUGCCCAAGGAUGGAACUGCCCAUGAUGCGCUGGCCUCUCCUGUGUCAAUGAGUGGUCAAGAAAAUGCACAAGUCCACAGAACUAUCCAAUGGAAGCAGUUUUUCAGUUGAGGUUCCUUCUUCCAGAAGUGUCAUGUUACAAACAAAACUAACCAAAAGAUGCUAAAAUGCUCUGUCUCAGAGAAGGCUGAGUCCCCAGCCCUGCAUAUCUUCACAGAGACGACAGCCCAGCAACACAGCAAAAUGACAGAGCCAUUGUCUGCGCCCAGCAUAGGACUUCCCCCUUUGUAUGAGCUGAGUCACAUUUUUUCCUGUUGUCAACUUGAAGGCCGUCCGUUGAUGUAUGAUAGGGCUAUCUCGCUGAUGUAUAAAGGCAGGCAGAGAGGUCCCCUUCCACGUGUUUGCCUUACCUUGGACCCU
rnacentral:lncRNA from 1 species